CUUCAAGUUGGCACGCGUCAAUGCAGAUGCCAAGGAGGACUAGGUCGGGUGCUGUAGAGUGCAGAGAACGUGUCCGUCAUUUCAUUCAUAACAGCCGGAGCAACAGAGCCCGCUUAUUACUCCUCUCUGCCGUCUGCUGACAUGCAGUCUUUUUUAUCACCAUUUAACAAGGCGAUCUUAGUGGCUUUGUUUAUUUUUGCCAUCUUACUCAUUCUUUAUGUGAUAUUAUGGUAUAUAUGUCGAGACGUGGAUUGCGAUCACGGAAUCUGAUUCGAAUAAUGGGAUGCGUAUCGUAAGACAGGCAGAGGAUACCCCGACGUUGGCUUUUACGGGGACGCGCCAGGGUGACCCUUUGCCAAUUGCGUGCCCUGCUCGUGAUACAGCUUUGGAGAUUUGACAAGGCAGAACUGAUGUCAGGGGACGACGCGCGAUUCAGCUUAACUCAUUGAGCAGGAGAAGGAACUCGCGGGAGCGCCAGUGUUCUGAGUUGCACGGAGUCCAAAUAUUGAAACACACGGAAGAGCCCUUGGCACAGAGAUGUGGCUGCUGUCUCGAAUUUUACCUAUUUUUAGGCUGUAUUUUGUGGGAGUCAAAGUUCUUUUGUAUCAGCUGUUCAACAAGUCUUUCACUUUACCAGGUACACAGUGAAGGCACCUGAAAGG
rnacentral:lncRNA from 1 species